AGUGAACGCUGGCGGUAGGCCUAACACAUGCAAGUCGAACGGCAGCACAUUAAGAUCUUGCUCUUACGGGUGGCGAGUGGCGGACGGGUGAGGAAUACAUCGGAAUCUACUUUUUCGUGGGGGAUAACGUAGGGAAACUUACGCUAAUACCUCAUACGACCUACGGGUGAAAGCAGGGGAUCUUCGUACCUUGCGCGAUUGAAUGAGCCGAUGUCGGAUUAGCUAGUUGGCGGGGUAAAGGCCCACCAAGGCGACGAUCCGUAGCUGGUCUGAGAGGAUGAUCAGCCACACUGGAACUGAGACACGGUCCAGACUCCUACGGGAGGCAGCAGUGGGGAAUAUUGGACAAUGGGCGCAAGCCUGAUCCAGCCAUACCGCGUGGGUGAAGAAGGCCUUCGGGUUGUAAAGCCCUUUUGUUGGGAAAGAAAAGCAGCAGGUUAAUACCCCGCUGUUCUGACGGUACCCAAAGAAUAAGCACCGGCUAACUUCGUG
rnacentral:rRNA from 1 species